AUCAGUCAAAUGGUGACUCUAGAUAACCUCGGGCCGAUCACAUGCCCCCGUGGCGGCGACGAAGCAUUUGAAUGUCUGUCCUAUCAACUUUCGAUGGUACUUCCUCUGCCUACCAUGGUGACCACGGAUAAUGGGGAAUCAGGGUUCGAAUCCGGAGAGGAAGCCUGAGAAAUGGCUACCACAUCCAAGGAAGGCAGCAAGUGCGCAAAUUACCCACUCCCAACCCAGGGAGGUAGUGACGAAAAAUAACAAUACAGGACUCUUUCGAGGCCCUGUAAUUGGAAUGAGUACACUUUUAAUCCUUUAAUGAGGAUCCAUUGGAGGGCAAGUCUGGUCCCAGCAGCCGCGGUAAUUCCAGCUCCAAUAGCGUAUAUUAAAGUUGCUGCAGUUAAAAUGCUUGUAGUUGGAUCUUGGGAUCGAAAGAGGUUGUGAAGGGAAAGAG